AUGCAUUAAUGCUGUGCUUUUAAAAUCAAUAAAAAAUUACAGACGACAAUGUUUUCGCUUUAGUUUAUUCAAAAUCAUUGAAAGAUGCGCUACGGGCUGCUGUUUGCAAUUACCUUGGCUUGUUUGAGCCUUGCUAGUGCGUUGACUGCAAAAGAUGUGCAACUUAUAGCUGAAUUAAAGCAGGCUACCGAGCAGGCGAACCAACAAUUGCUGCAAGGCCAUCUCAAGUUCCUAAUACAGGUAAAUGAAUACAUCGCAGAUUCGCAGGUUGUGGAUCAGUCGAUGAUACGACAAUUACGCGCCCAAAAACUUCGAGCGGAGGCAAAACUUGCAGCGAAUCGUUUAAAGGAAUCAGAUCUGGAUGAAAUUUUAGAUGAAUGGGAGAGAAUCCUAGAUGGGAAUAAUUCAAAUGGAGACCAGAGAAGAGAACGCAUUUAUUUAUACCUAAAGGACAAAUAUGGUGACAUAUUUAACAUGAAUGAACAAAGGCUGCACAGGCAAGUUCAGUUAUUCUCUUAUGCAAUGAAUCCAAAAAUAAGAGAGCUCAGCAAAUCUGCGCAACAAAGCGAACAUGAACUAAUUACAGCAUUCAAUAAUGUUGCCUAUGCGGGUCUUGUAAGCCCGGAAGAGUCAUUUACUGACUUCGUAACAGUUAUGAAUAAAUAUUAAGUUUUAUUACGCAAAAAAA